rnacentral:rRNA from 1 species
GAAUCUUGCGCAAUGGGCGAAAGCCUGACGCAGCCAUGCCGCGUGAAUGAUGAAGGUCUCAGGAUGGUAAAACUCUUUCACCGGGGAGGAUAAUGACGGUACCCGGCGAAGAAGCCACGGCGAACUUAGUGCCAGCAGCCGCGGGAAUACGAAGGGGGCUAGCGAUGCUCGGAAUUACGGGGCGUAAAGGGCGCGUAGGCGGAUCGUUAAGUCAGAGGUGAAAUCCCGGAGCUCAACUUCGGAAUUGCCUUUGAUACUGGCGAUCUUGAGUGUGAGAGAGGUAUGUGGAACUCCGAGUGUAGAGGUGAAAUUCGUAGAUAUUCGGAAGAACACCAGUGGCGAAGGCGACAUACUGGCUCAUUACUGACGCUGAGGCGCGAAAGCGUGGGGAGCAAACA